UUUCCAUACAAAAAUAAGCCUCAUCCGCUUCUUGCAUUGCCAUCGUUAGGCAGGUGCAAGAAGCGGAUGAGGCUAUUUUUUAGAGUUUACUGA
rnacentral:sRNA from 1 species